rnacentral:rRNA from 1 species
AGUGAACGCUGGCGGUAGGCCUAACACAUGCAAGUCGAACGGCAGCACAGUAAGAGCUUGCUCUUACGGGUGGCGAGUGGCGGACGGGUGAGGAAUACGUCGGAAUCUACUUUUUCGUGGGGGAUAACGUAGGGAAACUUACGCUAAUACCGCAUACGACCUACGGGUGAAAGCAGGGGAUCUUCGGACCUUGCGCGAUUGAAUGAGCCGAUGUCGGAUUAGCUAGUUGGCGGGGUAAAGGCCCACCAAGGCGACGAUCCGUAGCUGGUCUGAGAGGCUGAUCAGCCACACUGGAACUGAGCCACGGUCCAGACUCCUACGGGAGGCAGCAGUGGGGAAUAUUGGACAAUGGGCGCAAGCCUGAUCCAGCCAUACCGCGUGGGUGAAGAAGGCCUUCGGGUUGUAAAGCCCUUUUGUUGGGAAAGAAAAGCAGCAGGUUAAUACCCCGCUGUUCUGACGGUACCCAAAGAAUAAGCACCGGCUAACUUCGUG